rnacentral:rRNA from 1 species
GACGAGCGCUGGCGGCGUGCCUAAUACAUGCAAGUCGAACGCAGUGGGGACGGGUGAGUAACACGUGGGUAACCUCCCAUCAGAGGGGAUAACACUUGGAAACAGGUGCUAAACCGAUACUGUUGGAUGAACCCGCGGUGCAUUGGCUAGUUGGUGAGGUAACGGCUCACCAAGGCCACGAUGCAUAGCCGACCUGAGAGGGUGAGAGGCCACACUGGGAUGGAGCCACGGCCCAGACUCCUACGCGAGGCAGCAGUAGGGAAUCUUAGGCAAUGGAAGAAAGUCUGACCGAGAAACGCCGCGUGAGUGAAGAAGGUUUUCGGAUAGUAAAACUCUGUUGUUAGAGAAGCGGUAUCUAACCAGAAAGCAACGGCUAACUACGUGCCAGCAGCCGCGGUAAUAC